UCCCUUGUGGCUUAGAUGGUAAAGAAUCUGCUUGUAAUGCAGGAGACCUGGGUUUGAUUCCUGGUUUGGGAA
rnacentral:tRNA from 1 species